UACGAAGGGGGCUAGCGUUGCUCGGAAUCACUGGGCGUAAAGCGCACGUAGGCGGAUCUUUAAGUCAGGGGUGAAAUCCCAAGGCUCAACCUUGGAACUGCCUUUGAUACUGGGGAUCUCGAGUCCGGAAGAGGUGAGUGGAAUUCCUGGUGUAGCGGUGAAAUGCGCAGAUAUCAGGAAGAACACCCGUGGCGAAGGCGGCUCUCUGGAACGCAACUGACGCUGAGACGCGAAAGCGUGGGGAGCAAACAGG
rnacentral:rRNA from 1 species